AGCGAACGCUGGCGGCAGGCCUAACACAUGCAAGCCGAACGAACCUUUCGGGGUUAGUGGCGGACGGGUGAGUAACACGUGGGAACGUGCCUUUAGGUUCGGAAUAACUCAGGGAAACUUGUGCUAAUACCGAAUGUGCCCUUCGGGGGAAAGAUUAAUCGCCUUUAGAGCGGCCCGCGUCUGAUUAGCUAGUUGGUUGAGGUAAUGGCUCACCAAGGCGACGAUCAGUAGCUGGUCUGAGAGGAUGAUCAGCCACAUUGGGACUGAGACACGGCCCAAACUCCUACGGGAGGCAGCAGUGGGGAAUCUUGCGCAAUGGGCGAAAGCCUGACGCAGCCAUGCCGCGUGAAUGAUGAAGGUCUUAGGAUUGUAAAAUUCUUUCACCGGGGACGAUAAUGACGGUACCCGGAGAAGAAGCCCCGGCUAACUUCGUG
rnacentral:rRNA from 1 species